rnacentral:tRNA from 1 species
CGGGGUGUAGUAUAAUGGCAGUACGCGCCCUUGGGGUGGGUGUAGCCGGAGUUCGAUUCUCCGCACCCCGACAA